rnacentral:tRNA from 1 species
AGGAUUAUAAUUUAAAUUAAAAUAUUUGAUUUGCAAUCAAAAAAUAUUGAACUAAUCAAUUUAUCUUA